AUAGACCAGCCGGUGCUGAUGGGGUCCGGGACUUGACGAUGGCGCCUGCUCGUUCCUGUUGUGUUCUAUCUGAGGCAUGAUUUUCUUUCCUUUUUGGGAGGUAGAGAGCACGGGGCAGAGGUUGCACCUGACACAUUAGAACUCCGUUGUCACUGCUGUGGCUGUUAUUCCCCUCGGCAAGAGCCAAGGAGCAAACAGGACGUGAAGACCCUGGUGUUACACAUCCAAUCGUUCACCUCCUUCCAAGACAAUGACAUUCCAGGAAACCUUCACUGCUAAGAGGAACUGAGAUCUAGAGUAUCUCCUUGAGGAAGUACAACUGCAUUAUAAAUUAAGGAGGAAAAAUAACAAAGAGCUUGAAGACGUGCACAGCUCACAGGCCCUGGGUGGAGGCUGGCGGCAUCAGACAGACAGAACCAAGACAUCUGAGGGGCAACCAGGAGGUGCGUGUGGCUGCAGAGCACACAG
rnacentral:lncRNA from 1 species